UGGGUUUUAGCCAUAAGAACUUUCCUAUGUGCGCAUGUAAAACCCUAAUGCUUGGAUCUAGGCUUUCUAAUAAACAUGCUUUGAAUCCAAGACUUCUAAUGACUAAUUAGGUUAAAUAACAACAUUCAAACAGAUCUAGAAUCACACCUUUGAGUUCCUUGUUGAUCUUGAGGUCUUGGAGCUUCUAGAGUCACAAAUGUCACUCCUCUAAUGGCUUACAAACACCAAUAGCAAGGAAGAUGAUUUAGGAGAGAGGAGAGGGGAGGAAAUCGGCCAGGGUUCUUUUACUUUAGGAGAGGUGUCGAUUUCCUUAUGCCAUGGGGUCUAUUUAUACUUGUAGACUCCUUAAGGGUUACAACCUAAACCCUAAUUGGAUAAUCUUCUCUUAAGGCUAUCCAAAUCCUUUCCAUAGAUAAGCCUUGGACGAAUUAGCUAUCCUUUUAGCUUCUAGAAUUCGUCCCUUGUAUAUCUACAAGGAUUUACAGUCUAAAGCUUAACUAUCAAACANUGUCAUUUUAUACCCCUUUAUUUAAUUAAUCUCUUUAAGUCACCAAAUUAACUCUAAUUAAUUCUAUGACUUAUAUUAAUCAAAUAACAAUAUAUUAUUCUUUAUAUUAUUCCCAUAAUAUAUAAAUAAUAUUUACUCUCUCUUAAUAAAUCAUCCUAUCAAGUUGCUAUGGUGAAGGCAACCCAAAAGGACCAUGCACAACCGGGUCAAAUACUUGCCUAAUAUAGUUGCAGCCUUAGACACUAUUCCAACAGUCUCCCACUUGGAUAAGUCUAGUAACUAUAUGCACAAGUACAAUUCGGUUUGCAAUCGUAGCUCUCAAAGACGCUGUCAAACUCUGAUCUAAUCAAUCUUGUCCUUUAGAUAAGGGAUCGUACAGUCCUCUGUUAGAUAUCAUGCUGACAAUCCUAUGGAAUGGUUAGUCAAGCAUUUAGGUUUCUCGAUCUCUGAUUUAUUUGACAUAGAACUUAAUCGAACACAUCAAUUCAGUUCUGACCGGGCCCGGCACAUAAGUCAAAUCAAAUCAUCGAGCGGCCGAGAUAUCGCUUUUACCUUCUUAGAUAAAAGUUACAGAUAAACUUCGACUUAUAUGCAUUUACUUAUUCAUUAACCAACUAUACACAACAAUACGUUUUAUAACACCAAGUUACUGAUGCGUUUUCGUAUUAUCAAUGUACAAUCAAUUAACAAAUAAUAAACCAUAUAUCUAGGUUUUAAGACUAUAUGAUAUUAUCGUCUUGCGAUCACCUUUUAUAUCGUAUUCCAUAAGGUGAUUCCAGCAAGCGCGGGUUUAUUCCAAUGCUCAAAACUAGUUCAUAAGCACUCAUGAACGUUGCAGCAAUCCUUUGCUAUGUCUAACACCAUUUAGACAUUCUACACACCAAUUCAUGACAAUCUUCAUUCAUAUCUACUUCCAACAUAUGAACGAUUGUGGACCAUUUGAACAAUUCGAUUAUUCCUAAUAAACUCAAUUAUUCUGGAAGUCAAAACAUGCAAAGUGAAACAAUAGCUAAACAAUUAACAUAAGAUAGUAACAUUACUCAUAAAUAAAACUCCUUUAUUUAAUCAUCAAAUGUCAAUUACAUUUAUCUAUUACACGUUUCUAAUACUAUCUAAUCUAUGCUAAUAUCAUCCUUCAGCCCAAUACUCCUAGCAUGCUGCAAGUGCUUAACCCUACUCAGUCCCUUCGUAAGCGGAUCUGCUGGGUUAUCUUCUGAUGAUAUCCUCUUCACUACGAGUUGUCCUUCUUCUACACGAUGUCUAAUGAAGUGAUAUUUUCUGUCGAUAUGUCUUGAUCUACCAUGAUCCCUCGGUUCCUUGGUCAAGGCAACCGCGCCUUCGUUAUCACAGAAAAUCUCCAUUGGCUCCUUUAUGGCAGGUACAACUCCAAGAUCACCGAUGAAGUUCUUUAGCCAUAUUGCCUCCUUCGACGCUUCGCUCGCUGCAAUGUACUCUGAUUCGCACGUUGAAUCAGCUACGGUUUCCUGCUUGGAACUCUUCCAUGUCACUGCUCCUCCAUUUAGGGUAAAGACCCAGCCCGACUGCGAACGGUAGUUGUCCCUGUCGGUCUGAAAACUGGCGUCACUAUACCCUCGCACCUUCAAGUCAUCACUCCCUCCGAGGACUAAGAACCAUUCCUUCGUCCUCCGAAGGUACUUAAGGAUAUUCUUCACCGCAAUCCAAUGUGCUUUGCCAGGAUUCCCUUGAUAUCUGCUAACCAUGCUCAAAGCGAAGGCUACAUCAGGGCGAGUACAAGUCAUAGCGUACAUGAUUGAGCCAACUGCGGAAGCGUAUGGUACUCGGCUCAUUUCUGCUAUCUCAGCUUCGGUACUCGGACUUUGAGUCUUACUCAAUUUGGCAUUACUUUGUAUCGGUAGUUCUCCCUUCUUUGAGUUUUCCAUACUAAAACGUUUUAGUACCUUCUCUAAGUAAGUAUUCUGACUAAGUCCAAUUAGUCUCUUACUUCUUUCUCUUACUAUCCUUAUUCCCAAAAUGUAAGAAGCCUCUCCGAGGUCCUUCAUAGCGAAGUACUUUCCGAGCCAGGAUUUAACCUCCUGCAGGGUCGGGAUGUCGUUUCCUAUGAGUAAUAUGUCAUCGACAUAUAGAACGAGGAAGCUUACUAUACUCCCACUGGCUUUGACAUAUACACAAGAUUCGUCUUCGCUUCGUACAAAUCCAAACUCUUUGACUUUCUCAUCGAAGCAAAGAUUCCAUCUGCGAGACGCUUGCUUAAGUCCAUAAAUGGACUUCUCAAGCUUACACACUCUAUUCGGAUGCUUCGGAUCCACAAACCCCUCUGGCUGAGCCAUGUAAACAUCCUCAGCCAACUUUCCGUUAAGGAAAGCGGUCUUGACAUCCAUUUGCCAAAUCUCAUAAUCAUGAAAUGCGGCAAUAGCUAGCAUCACUCUAAUAGAUUUAAUCUUCGCAACUGGUGAGAAGGUCUCAUCAUAGUCAACUCCGGGAGUUUGAGUAAAGCCCUUCGCAACCAAUCGCGCUUUAUAUGUGUGUACGUUUCCAUCCACGUCGGUCUUCUUCUUGAAGAUCCAUUUGCACCCAACGGUCUUACGUCCGGGCACAUAAUCAACCAAAUUCCAAACUUGGUUAUCAUACAUGGAUUGGAUCUCGCUAUCCAUUGCCUCUUUCCAUUUUGCAGACUCCGGGCCUGCCAUGGCUUCCUUAUAGCUAUUAGGUUCAUCAAGAUUUACUAGUGUACCAUCACUAAUAUACGUGUCCCCUUCGGUAGUAAUAUGAAAGCCAUAAAACUGGGGAUGAACUCUAACUCUAUCGGAACGUCUAAGAGGUAAGGAUUCGUCAAUCGGUUCAACCGGAGUUUCCUCCUCGGGUUGAGUGCCAGCGGUAGAGGUUCCUUCAUCUAUCGACUCUUGAAUCUCUUCAAGUUCGAUUUGCCUCCCACUGUCUCCUUGGCUUAUGAGUUCUCGCUCUCGGAAAACUCCUCUCCUCGCAACGAAGACAACAUUGUCCUUCGGUCUAUAGAAGAGAUAUCCAAAGGAUGUCUGCGGGUAGCCGAUGAAAAUACAUCGCUCACUUCGAGGUUCAAGCUUGUCGUGAGUAUCUCGUCUUACGAAAGCCUCGCAACCCCAAACCUUGAUAUGUGCCAACGAGGGAGCUUUCCCUGUCCACAUCUCGUGAGGUGUUUUGGCAACCUUCUUAGUAGGGACUCGGUUAAGGAUAUGGGCGGCAGUCUCUAAGGCAUACCCCCAAAAAGAGAUUGGUAGUGAAGCACGACUCAUCAUAGAGCGAACCAUAUCCAAUAAGGUUCGAUUACGCCUUUCUGCCACACCAUUCAACUGCGGUGUCCUAGGAGGCGUCAAUUGUGAAACUAUUCCACACUCCUUGAGAUAAUCGUGGAAUUCAAGACUUAGGUACUCUCCUCCUCGAUCGGAUCGAAGCAUCUUGAUUUUCCUGCCCAAUUGAUUCUCCACUUCAUUCUUGAACUCUUUGAACUUUUCAAAGGUGUCUGACUUUUGCUUGAUUAAGUAGAUAUACCCAUAUCUACUAUAGUCAUCGGUAAAAGUCACAUAGAAGCGGUUCCCAUCCUUCGUGGUUGAUCUAAACGGUCCACAUACAUCGGUAUGUAUUAGGUCCAAUAGACCCUCGCCCCUUUCACAUGUACUCGUGAAGGGUGACUUAGUCAUCUUUCCAAGCAAACAAGACUCGCAUGUGUCAUCUUCCCUAAGGUCGAAUGACUCCAACACUCCAUCCUUUUGGAGUUGGGCUAUGCGUUUCUUGUUGACAUGUCCAAGACGACAAUGCCACAAGGAUGCUUUAUCCAUACUAGUGGAAGAAUCAAUAUUCAAAACAUCAUUUCCUAAGUUAUCAACAAUCAUAACGGUUUCAUAUAUUCCAUUACAUGGUAUAGCUUCAAAGUAAAAGACACCAUUUAGAUAAGCCAAAAUAGAACCAUUCUCAUUAUUAAAAGAAAAUCUAAAUCCUUGUCUAUAUAAACCAUGAAAUGAAAUGAUGUUUCUUGCCAUUUCUGGCGAAUAGCAACAAUUGUUCAAAUCUAAAACUAAACUAUUCCUAAGCACUAAAGAAUACACUCCAAUCUUGGUCACAGGCGACGAUCUUCUGUUCCCCAUGAUUAGAUUGAUCCUUCCUUGCUCCACAUCCCUACUUCUUCUUAGUCCCUGCACAUUAGAACAAAUGUGAUAACCACAACCGGUAUCAAGAACCCAAGAAAUAGCAUGAUUAGAAUCGUUAGAUUUGAUUGUGUAUAUACCUGCGAAAGAUGGCUUGAUCUUUCCUUCUUUGAUUGCUUGCAGGUAAUCUGGGCAGCUUCUCUUCCAAUGUCCUAUCUUGUGGCAGUGGUGGCACUCUGCCUCCUUCGGGUUAGAGCAGGGCUUAGCGGGAUCAACUUUGGUCCCACUAGAAGAGGCACCAUCUCGGGCUUUCACCUUGCGAUAGUUCUUCGAUGAAGCUUUCCUCUUCUUUCCCUUUCCUUGACCAAUAGCCAAGACAGGAGCAGCGGGCGGAUUGGGAGUAGGUGCAACAGACUUGUCCUUGAAGUUGCUCUCAGCGACCCUCAAGAGACCUUGGAGUUUGCUUAGGGUGACCUCUUCUUUGUUCAUGUGGUAGGUCAUCCUAAAUUGGUUGUACAUCGGAGGCAAAGAGUGAAGCACCAUGUCGAUCGCCAAGUCUUCACCGAAGUCAACAUUUAACUUGCGAAGGCGGUCGACAUACCUUUGCAUCUUUUGCAAGUGCACGGUAAGAGAUUCUCCAUGACCCAUCUUCGCGGAAAUCAUGUUAGUGAAAAUCUCGUACCUCUCUUGUCUCGCGUUUUGGUGGUACCUCUCCAAUAAGUCUUGAUGCAUCUCGUACGGGUACAUGUCCUCGUAGGACUUUUGGAAUUCGGAGUUCAUGGUGGCGAUCAUGAUGCAAUGUACCUUCGUUGCAUCUCGCUCAUGAGUCUCAAAAGCGGUGAUUUCGGCGGGAGUAGCGAUUUCGGGGUUGAUUUUCUCGAGCUUCUCAUCGAGGACAUACUCCUUAUCCUCAUAGCGAGCAAUGGUGCGAAUGUAUCUUAUCCAUUCGCUAAAGUUCGUUCCAUCGAAGGUGACCUUUUGGCAAAGGCUCAUCAACGUGAAAGAACUAGCAGCAGCGUUGUUUGCGUUCGACAUCUACAAUUAGAAAAGGACAAAGAUAGAUUAGAAUAAGAAUCCCUAAUUAUCACCCAAUAAGAAAAUUAGGGCUAGGAUCCAACAAUAACAUUUACAUACUAGAAAAGGGAUGCCGUAAUCUAACAUGCAAAUAAAUUGAAGGUAAGUGAAUGACGAUUCACUAAUUCUCCAUUUCAAAAACUUAACUAUUAGUCCUAAAUGUAUUGAGAAUUCCUAGGUUCGGAUGAGAUUCAUUGAAACUAUUCAAUGGCAUGUUUAAAUCUCGAUAUGCCCCUCUUGUUUGUGACUGGGAUACCGAGGAUCACAAAGCGGGUGUGAAUUACCAUGCAAAUUCACAUGGUGCCUUCAUUGUAACGAUCACCUAUUCGAUGUGCCGGUAAACCACACACGCUCCAUCGAACUAUGAUAAACAAUGAAUCACCCUUUGCCACCUUCGCUUAGAACCAAUUAGUGUGCCGGUAAACCACACACGCUCCACUAACAUCUUAGCAAGGUGCAAAGUGUAAUUUCAUGGGAUUGCAUCAAUUCACUUUUCCUAAAGUAACUAGGAUUGGGAAAUUUUAAAAUAUGUGUAGUUACUUUGUAUUUCUUAUUAUACUUUUAAUGAGAGGAUGAGGUUGCCCUAUCCUACCCGUUCGGCUAACGACCCUCCACCAAUCAAGCAAGCGGUGGGUGUGAGUGUACACCCAUUAAGCGCCAUUUUAUAGGCCGCAACCUUAUACCCACCUUAUAGAUCGGCUUCGUGAAUGAGGCCUACUAACGGUAAGACUAGCAUUUAGUUAUACAUAUAUAUAUUAUUCUAGUAAUAUCAUAUUAGUAUAGGGUUGUAUUUUAAAACUUUUAAAAUCUAGGGUUUGAAAUUUAAGUUGUCUAAAUUAAAACUUUUAAUCACAAAUAUAAAUUUCAAAACUUGAGGGUAAGUUUUAAACAUUUAAAACAUGGAGGAUCAAAUAACAAAUAAUUCCAAUUAACAAUUAAUAUCCUAAUUAUCUAUAUUUGAUUUUAUUCAAGAUUUCUUUGAAAGAUAAUUACCAAAAUAAUUAAAAUAAUUAAUUAAUUAUCAUAUAAGGAAAUUAAAUAUUUUAUUAGUUGAUAAAUACCUUUAACUAGAUCAAGAUAAUAGUCAUAUAUAUCAAAAAAUCGGAUUUAGAUUGAUCUAUUAUGAUUAAGGUAAGUUUCCAUAAGAUAAUUAUGAAAAAAUCCCGAAUCUGGCCAUUCCUGACGCCUGGACUCGCCGAGUGCACAAGGGGACUCGCCGAGUCAGGCCUACUCGCCGAGUCCACCUUGGAACUCGCCGAGUCCAUGACUCAGAAACCAAAAAAUCGAAUUUUGCAGGUUUGUUUCAGUUAAUCAAGCAACAAUUUAAAGAAAACCAAGCUAGGCUCUGAUACCACUGAUGGGUUUUAGCCAUAAGAACUUUCCUAUGUGCGCAUGCAAAACCCUAAUGCUUGGAUCUAGGCUUUCUAAUAAACAUGCUUUGAAUCCAAGUCUUCUAAUGACUAAUUAGGUUAAAUAACAACAUUGAAACAGAUCUAGAAUCAUACCUUUGAGUUCCUUGUUGAUCUUGAGGUCUUGGAGCUUCUAGAGUCACAAAUGUCACUCCUCUAAUGGCUUACAAACACC
rnacentral:lncRNA from 1 species